rnacentral:lncRNA from 1 species
UUUAGAGAACCUAUUUCUAAUUCUUAUGUCACCCCAUUCUCCAUGUGUGUGGUACAGGCCUCACACCACAACAGAGCAUCAUCCUGGUGGUCGUAAUACUGAGCGUGGCAUUCAUUGCAACACUGGCACUACGCAUACGCUGGUCUCGUAUAAACCUCCGUCGCCGAAAGAACAUGCAGCGUGGAGCGCUCUGGCGUCCAGAACGUAUGGGUUGUUAUGACUUCACAGACUAUGCAGACCAGCCUCCUACAUUACUAACGACACCCUCCCGUGCUUGCGACAGUGACGCCUUGCUUUGUCCAUAUGUGGAUCCUGUCCUGCAUGAUAGUGGGACUCCAAGACACCCCUACGCUCCUUUAGGAUAUGGUUACCCUGUGGCUCCAGCAUCACCUACCAGCUUCCAUCGUUCAUCAUUGCAGCUUUCAAUAAGAGAGGCUGCACAGAGUGCUGCUCUUGUGCGUGGUCUUAGCCGGAGGACUUCGCCUGCCGAUGUGUUUUCAGCAUCACCAGCCUGUAUGCAUGGUCCCUCAUCUUUCUUGGGUCUCUCCGGUUCUGUACUUGAGCAGCGCCCCUCACCAGGUAUGCUGCCCACCAAGGACAUAUUCCCGGUUUACUCUACCCGCCAGGUUUCAUGCUCACCUGGCUGUCCUCGGCCACCAUCACCUUGUGAGUACGUCAAUCUUCCAUCAAACAGCACACCUCUAGGCCUGCCUAGCCGUUGUAGCCAGCCCCUGCCUCGGCAGGCUGCUUUUUGAAACUCCACUGCCAGCAGCCCCUACCCACAAUGGGCAUGUCUAUGCUGUUUGCUGUGCACCAAAUAUGUCUCGCUCGCCUUUGUUGCCAAGCACCCGCAUCUCUCAGCCUCGUCGUCGUGCCAAUACAAUGGCUGGUGAGGUGCGGACACAAUAUGAAGAUGAGAAUGGAUCUCCACUGAAAAUCCGACCUCCACUCAGCAGCCAGUCAACUCAGGAGGAAUUACCCCCAUUGCCACCAAGUGCUGCACUUAUCCACCCAUGGCCCUCAGAAAGACAUGUCAUUGAGCGAGAUGUAGGAUCUCCGCUGCGCCCUCUUGCUGUUCAGCCACCAUCUUCACUGCUUCAUCUCAACUGCAAUUUUCCUGAUGAUCUGGCUUCAUCAGCCCACUUUACUACUCCAUCUCACCACAGUCCUCUCUCUAUCUGCGGCCCACCAGAUUUCAGGCCCAAAACUCGACUGACGCGUGUUGCCUCAGAUCCCCGCUCUUGUGUCUCAGAGCCGGCAGCACCGACAUCGACAGCAUACCGUGACCGGUAUAAUGCAGCUUCACCAAUGUACAUCUCAGAAUCGCAUCCAACUUCAGCUGCUGCUUCUCCUCGUACACCCCGUCCUCGUGGCCGCCCGGGUCCAUCAGCAACCAGAAGUCUCCGCAGAGAACCACCAGUCCAACUCUCGGGAUGUAACAUCCCAGACACAGGGUCACUUCCACGACGUGGUCGAGCAGCAAUAUCAUCAGGUGUUCAACGUCGGGCAGCACGGGCACAACACUCACCACCAGGAGCUGGAUGUUAUGUGCCAUAUUCUCCAGAGAAACAGAUUAAGGCCUACCAGGCCUUACCUCUGACUGGAGACAGCCGAUAUGGCCAUGGACAUUCCAACUCACCAGCUGCUGGUUUUGCCUACUGUGGACAGGUUGGGAACAUCUUACAGUGUCAUCCUCCUGCACAACCGGCGACAAGGAAAAAUUUCCUGCAUGGGGCUCGUGUGAAAAGAUUCUGAGUCAACCCAGGACGAUGAACCCAUGGACCACAUCAUUUACAUGCUGACAGCCCACUGAGCUAUUGAGUCUUCAGGAUAUCCUCAGACAUUUCUCACACUGACACUGCAAGCUUUAUAAUGGCUGACAUCUUACGAGGUAAACCCCCAGUGUGCGCGCGCGCACACACACACACACACACA